AGGACGAACGCUGGCGGCGUGCCUAAUACAUGCAAGUCUAAGGGGUCUAUUCCUUUCGGGGAAUAGAUCACUGGCGCACGGGUGAGUAACGCGUAAGUAAUCUGCCCUUGGGUCUGGCAUAACCUCGGGAAACCGGGACUAAUUCCAGAUGAUAUCGAAAGAUACAAAGAAUUUCGCCCAGGGAUGAGCUUGCGUCUGAUUAGCUAGUUGGCGGGGUAAUGGCCCACCAAGGCGACGAUCAGUAGCCGGUCUGAGAGGAUGAUCAGUCACACCGGAACUGAGACACGGUCCGACUCCGUAGGGAGCAGGCAGGUGGGGAAUAGUUAGGACAAGUGGGCGACAAGCCUGACUCCAGCAAUGACCGGCGUGUGUGAAGAGGUCCGUUCGGGUUAGUAAAGU
rnacentral:rRNA from 1 species